GACGAACCGUGCGAACGUUGUUCGGAAUCACUGGGCUUAAAGGGCGCGUAGGCGGGCGAGCAAGUUCGGGGUGAAAUCUUUCGGCUCAACCGGAAAAGGGCCUCGGAGACUGCUCGUCUGGAGGGAGGUAGGGGCAGGUGGAACUGCUGGUGGAGCGGUGAAAUGCGUUGAUAUCUGCAGGAACACCCGUGGCGAAAGCGGCGCGCUGGACCACUACUGACGCUGAGGAACGAAAGCUAGGGGAGCAAACAGG
rnacentral:rRNA from 1 species